GACUAACGCUGGCGGCGUGCCUAACACAUGCAAGUCGAACGGGACCCUGGUUCGCCAGGGUCUAGUGGCAGACGGGUGAGUAACACGUAGGUAAUGUACCCUCUUGCUGGGGAUACCCGUCCGAAAGGAUGGUUAAUACCGAAUAUGCCAUUUCCGGGGCAUCCCGGUGGUGGCAAACUGGCAACGGGCGGGAGGAUCAGCCUGCGGACCAUCAGCUAGUUGGUGGGGUAACGGCCUACCAAGGCGACGACGGUUAGCCGGUUUGAGAGGACGAUCGGCCACACUGGGACUGAAACACGGCCCAGACUCCUACGGGAGGCAGCAGUGAGGAAUAUUGCGCAAUGGGCGAAAGCCUGACGCAGCGACGCCGCGUGAGGGAUGAAGGCCUUCGGGUCGUAAACCUCUGUCAGUGGGGAAGAGAACGGACGGUACCCACUGAGGAAGCAUCGGCUUACUACGUGCCAGCAGCCGCGGUAAUACGUAGGAUGCAAGCGUUGUCCGGAUUUACUGGGCGUAAAGAGCUCGUAGGCGGGGACGCGCGUCUCGGAGGAAAUUCCAGGGCUCAACCCUGGAGCUGUCCGAGAUACGGCGUCUCUUGAGGGCAGAAGAGGAGAACAGAAUUCCCGGUGUAGCGGUGAAAUGCGUAGAUAUCGGGAGGAAUACCAGUGGCGAAGGCGGUUCUCUGGUCUGUCUCUGACGCUGAGGAGCGAAAGCGUGGGUAGCGAACG
rnacentral:rRNA from 1 species